UGGGGAAUCUUGGACAAUGGGGGAAACCCUGAUCCAGCCAUUCCGCGUGAGUGAAGAAGGCCUUCGGGUUGUAAAGCUCUUUCGGCAGGAACGAAACGGUUUUGGGCUAAUACCCCAGACUACUGACGGUACCUGAAGAAGAAGCACCGGCUAACUACGUGCCAGCAGCCGCGGUAAUACGUAGGAUGCGAGCGUUAAUCGGAUUUACUGGGCGUAAAGCAUGCGCAGGCGGCGGUUCAAGUCAGGUGUGAAAUCCCCGAGCUUAACUUGGGAAUUGCGCUUGAAACUAGAUCGCUAGAGUACGGCAGAGGGGGGUAGAAUUCCACGUGUAGCAGUGAAAUGCGUAGAGAUGUGGAGGAACACCGAUGGCGAAGGCAGCCCCCUGGGCCUGUACUGACGCUCAUGCAUGAAAGCGUGGGGAGCAAACAGGAUUAGAUACCCAAGUAGUCCCUGAGCGGGCUGGCAAGGCGCAU
rnacentral:rRNA from 1 species